UUAUACACAACUAUGUAGGUUAAGGCUACCACUAUAAAACUAUUACAAUUUGCUAUGAAAAAACACUAUAAUUUACAGAUUAAAACACUAUCAAAAUCUGAACACAAUUCUACAAUGAGGGUUUUCGAUACUUUUUCUGCCGCCAGGCGGCGCUUCGUAUGCGUCAGGUCCAAACAGCUGUCAAAUAGUAUGGAAUUGUAGGGUCCGAACUUAUUGUUUAUUGAAAUUCUGUUAUAUUGGAAGUGUUAUUGAUUUUAUUAUGGACUACGGUCAGAAUAAGGUUUCCGAACUAAAAAUUGAGCUAAGAGAGAGGGUGCAAAAGUCACUGGUACUAAGGAAAAGCUUGUUGAAAAAUUUGUUAACACAAUAUGAUUUAGUUUUUUUUUAUUUACUCAACCUCAAUAGUAAAACAAUAAUGCAGUGCUUUAAUUAUAAAAUAAUAAAAAAAAAAACACUAAAAUCGUUCACUAUUCAUAGUAAAGAUAAGCACUUUAACAGUUACCUGGACCUGACGACUCGGUGCUGCCACCUCGUGGACGCCAUUUAAGAAAACCCUCAUUAUUUAGAAGGAGGGUGCUCGUGAAAACAUACAGUUACCGGCACGGAUGUCGGGCUCUCGGCGGAGGAGUGGGGAUCGCUUUGCGCACCUGUACGCAUAAGGCAAUAAGGCAGUAAAUCGCUUGUGCGCAGGUGAAGGUCAGGGCUCGACAUCCGUGCCGGUAACUGUACCUCGGCGCGGCUCACGGCACUUUUUGCUCAUUACCCUCAUCACGAAAUUGUUAGAGUAUAAAUCAAAAUCAAAAUCAAAAUCAAAUUGUUUUUAUUUCAAAUAGGCCUUUGCAGGCUCUUAUGAAACGUCAAAUUAGUUGCACGGUUCCAAAAAGUUGGUCUCAUGGAGAAGAGCCGGCAAGAAACUCCAUAGACACUCUUUUAAAAAGUAAUAUUUUCACAAACAUUCUAUUACAUAACAAUAGUAAGCUGAUAAAAUUAUACAAUGCAAUUGAAAGGUAAACAGUAAAUCAAUACAAUCCAAAGAGAAAAGAAAAAGACGUUUAAUUGCCAGGGAAGCCACACAUGGAGAGAUGAGUUAUCGCCAUAUAAUAUCUUUAUCAUCAACGAAGUCUUGAAUUUUAUAAUAAGCUUUUUUAAUGAGGGUGGAUUUUACAGUGUUCUUAAAUUUUAUAUCCGAGAGAUCGGUUACACACUUAGGCAGCUUGUUGUAAAAACGGACACAAUUCCCUAAAAACGAUUUAUUCGAUUUCGUUAAUCUGAAUCUCGGAACUACUAGUUUGUGCUUGUUUCUUGUAUUAAUCGAAUGUAUAUCACUUUUAACAAUAAACUGAUUUAUGUUUUUGCGUACGAACAUUAUAUUUUCUAGAAUAUAAAGAGAAGGAAGUGUAAGUAUUUCAAUUUCUUUAAAUAAUUCUCUCAGUGACUCGCGAGGGCCGAGGCCAUAAAUUGCACGAACUGCCCUUUUCUGGAGUACAAAUAUUGAAUUUACGUCCGCCGCUGCCCCCCACAAUAAAAUACCGUAGGACAUUAUACUAUGGAAGUAAGCAAAAUACACGAGCCUAGCAGUAGCAACGUCAGUAAUCUGUCUUAUUUUUCUGACUGCAUAAGCUGCGGAACUCAGCCUUUUUGACAUUGCUGAGAUGUGGGCACCCCAUUGCAAUUUAGAGUCUAUGGUGAUGCCCAAGAAGACGGUUUAUACGACGGUUAUAGACGGUUUUUAAAUAGUAACGCGCAUACACGAACACUUAGGCAUUAUGAUUUUGCACUCGCGGCGCACGGAUACGUCUGUCGCGAACACUGAUAAUUAUCGACGAUCGAUAAAAACCAGGUUAUCUAGUGAUAGAGUUAAUAAUGCGCAACUGUUUUAAGGUACAGUCGCAGUCGGUAUUAAAAAAAAUGUUUCAUGUAAAAAUGUUGCAUUUUUUGUGUAAUGACGACAAAAUGAAUAAAAAGUUUUAGAUAUGUUUUUAAAAAUAAUUAUUUUGUGCAUUUUGUUAGUUUUAUCUGUCAGUUAGAAUCUUGAAAUUUAAAUCAUAAUGGAAAGUAGAAGUAAAUCAAAUUAUGUAAUAAUAAUCAGAACACUUAUAGGUAACUGGUUUAUUUUCAGUAAUUACAAACUUGAAUAUGUACACUAUUUACAAAAUUAAACUACGUUACUAAAUAAAAAUACUAAACACAAUACAUAAAAUCAAAUACUAUAUACAAGAUAUAAAAACAUAUAUAAAUAAUAAAUUACUAUAAGUAAUUAGCGUUUGUACUCAUUUUCUUCUUCCAUUAACUAAACAAUAGAAAAAAAAACUCCUUUAAUUAUAGCAAAAUAUUAUCUCGUGACAAAAGAUCAAAUUAAAAAAAAAACAACACUUAUAUACUUUCUGCGUUGACUGUACUUAAUCUACCUAAAGCACGUAUGAAUUAGUACUGCCAUCGCCAUUUUAUUUCAGUCUCAAUUUGCUCAAGGAAGAAACCAAACGUGCCUAGGAAGAAUCGAGUGAUUAGAAUCGAUUCAUAUCGAUUGUUAGAUUCAGUUUUAGUAUUUUUCUGUAAGAUUCAUAAAUAGUUGUGAAUUCUUCAAUAAUUUGGACCCUGGUGGAAAAAUGCUGACAAGGAAACGGAAUAAGGAGCCGUCGCCGGAAGCGACAGUCUACCAAGAGGCGACGAACCUGAUGCCUCCUCUCGACCCCCCUCAGCCCCCUCCGAUGCCAACUGAAUCUGUUUCCGCCUCCGAGUCAUCAAAUAAUUUUAGAAAAAUCCUAAGUGAAAAAUGUCUAAGUGUUGUGUCUCCUGCGCGUUUGCGAGAAAAGUGCGGUAAACGUAAACCUGGGAAAGUUGCACGUUAAAGGGCGACCAGGAAAAGACUAUCAAAGAAAGACCUCUGAAUUGACUAAGAAGUUAGUUUUUAAGUACUUAAGGUAACUAUGGGCCACACACUGCAGCCUAAACAGUCGACGGUCGAUUCGAUGAAUGGCAAUUGUUUUUUGAGAAAAUCGUGAUUCCAAUCAAAGUUUUCUGUCGGUCUGAUGCCGAAUAUAGGUAUAUUUGAUCGCUGUAAUGUGCACACUGCCAUGCAUUUCCGUAGUUAGGGUGCUUACAUAAAGCGCUCGAUCAAACUAUCGGCGGACUAGUCUGCAGUGUUGUACUGUUGAUGUAGGUAGGUAACUAGGUAGGAACUUCCUUUCUUUGGUGAAUGUAAAAUAAAAAUUAAAAAAAAAAAUAUAA